rnacentral:rRNA from 1 species
AGAGUUUGAUCAUGGCUCAGAAUCAACGCUGGCGGCGCGCCUAACACAUGCAAGUCGCACGAGAAAGCGGGAGCAAUCUCGCAAGUAAAGUGGCGUACGGGUGAGUAACACGUGGAUCAUCUGCCCUGGAGUGGGGAAUAACGCUGGGAAACCGGCGCUAAUACCGCAUAUUCCCGAGAGGGGAAAGCAGCAAUGCGCUCGAGGAGGAGUCCGCGGCCGAUUAGCUAGUUGGUAGGGUAAAAGCCUACCAAGGCUGUGAUCGGUAGCCGGCCUGAGAGGGCACACGGCCACACUGGCACUGAAACACGGGCCAGACUCCUACGGGAGGCAGCAGUGGGGAAUCUUGCACAAUGGGGGAAACCCUGAUGCAGCGACGCCGCGUGAGCGAUGAAGCCCUUCGGGGUGUAAAGCUCUUUCGGCAGGGAAGAUUAUGACGGUACCUGCAGAAGCAGCUGCGGCUAACUACGUGCCAGCAGCCGCGGUAAUACGUAGGCAGCAAGCGUUGUUCGGAGUUACUGGGCGUAAAGGGUGUGUAGGCGGCCUGUUAAGUUCCGUGUGAAAUCUCCCGGCUCAACCGGGAGGGUGCGCGGAAAACUGGCGGGCUAGAGUGCGGGAUGGGAGAGUAGAAUUCCUGGUGUAGCGGUGAAAUGCGUAGAUAUCAGGAGGAAUACCGGUGGUGUAGACGGCUCUCUGGACCGCAACUGACGCUGAAACACGAAAGCGUGGGUAGCAAACAGGAUUAGAUACCCUAGUAGUCC